UCGGGUGUGGUGCACGGUGCACAGCGCUUCGUUUGUGGAGGCGAAAACGGAAUGUAAACCGCAGACCGGGGUUCGACUCCCCGCACCCGAA